UGGGGAAUCUUCCGCAAUGGACGAAAGUCUGACGGAGCAACGCCGCGUGAGUGAAGAAGGUUUUCGGAUCGUAAAACUCUGUCUUUUGGGGCGAACGUGAGUAUGGUGAACAAUCAUAGUCAGUGACGGUACCAAAGGAGGAAGCCACGGCUAACUACGUGCCAGCAGCCGCGGUAAUACGUAGGUGGCAAGCGUUGUCCGGAAUUAUUGGGCGUAAAGAGCGCGUAGGCGGGAUAGUCAGUCUGUUGUAAAGUGCGGGGCUCAACCCCGUGAUGGCAAUGGAAACAGCUAUUCUUGAGUGCAGGAGAGGAAAGUGGAAUUCCCAGUGUAGCGGUGAAAUGCGUAGAUAUUGGGAGGAACACCAGUGGCGAAGGCGACUUUCUGGACUGUGUCUGACGCUGAGGCGCGAAAGCCAGGGGAGCGAACGGGAUUAGAUACCCCGGUAGUCCUGGCCGUAAACGAUGGGUACUAGGUGUGGGAGGUAUCGACCCCUUUCCGUGCCGGAGUUAACGCAAUAAGUACCCCGCCUGGGGAGUACGGUCGCAAGACUGAAACUCAAAUGAAUUGACGAGGUCAUAGCUGUUUCC
rnacentral:rRNA from 1 species